CUGGGCUUGACAUGUUCCUGACAGCCGUGGAAACACGGUUUCCCUUCGGGGCAGGAUCACAGGUGGUGCAUGGCUGUCGUCAGCUCGUGUCGUGAGAUGUUGGGUUAAGUCCCGCAACGAGCGCAACCCCCGUCGUAUGUUGCCAGCAUUUAGUUGGGGACUCAUGCGAGACCGCCGGUGACAAACCGGAGGAAGGUGGGGAUGACGUCAAGUCAUCAUGCCCCUUAUGCCCAGGGCUACACACGUGCUACAUUGGCGCGUACAGAGGGCUGCAAGACCGCGAGGUGGAGCGAAUCCCUUAAAGCGCGUCUCGGUUCGGAUUGGAGGCUGAAACUCGCCUCCAUGAAGGCGGAGUUGCUAGUAAUCGCGGAUCAGCACUGCCGCGGUGAAUA
rnacentral:rRNA from 1 species